rnacentral:rRNA from 1 species
AGAUUGAACGCUGGCGGCGUGCCUAACACAUGCAAGUCGAGCGGUAACAGGUGUAGCAAUACAUGCUGACGAGCGGCGAACGGGUGAGUAAUGCUUUGGAAUCUUCCCAGUAGUGGGGAAUAACCAGUCGAAAGAUUGGCUAAUACCGCAUACGUCUGUAAAGGGAAAGCGGGGGCUCGUAAGACCUCGCGCUAUUGGAUGAGCCAAAGUCGGAUUAGCUUGUUGGUGGGGUAAUGGCCUACCAAGGCGACAAUCCGUAGCUGGUCUGAGAGGACGACCAGCCACACCGGAACUGAGACACGGUCCGGACUCCUACGGGAGGCAGCAGUGGGGAAUAUUGGACAAUGGGGGAAACCCUGAUCCAGCGACGCCGCGUGUGUGAAGAAGGCCUGCGGGUUGUAAAGCACUUUUAGUGGGGACAAAAGCUACGGAUUAAUACUCUGUGGUCUUGAUUUAACCCAAAGAAAAGCACCGGCUAACUCUGUGCCAGCAGCCGCGGUAA